rnacentral:rRNA from 1 species
GAUGAACGCUGGCGGCGUGCUUAACACAUGCAAGUCGAACGAUGAAGCCCAGCUUGCUGGGUGGUUUAGUGGCGAACGGGUGAGUAACACGUGAGUAACCUGCCCUUAACUCUGGGAUAAGCCUGGGAAACUGGGUCUAAUACCGGAUAGGAGCGCCUACCGCAUGGUGGGUGUUGGAAAGAUUUAUCGGUUUUGGAUGGACUCGCGGCCUAUCAGCUUGUUGGUGAGGUAAUGGCUCACCAAGGCGACGACGGGUAGCCGGCCUGAGAGGGUGACCGGCCACACUGGGACUGAGACACGGCGCAGACGCCUACGGGAGGCAGCAGUGGGGAAUAUUGCACAAUGGGCGAAAGCCUGAUGCAGCGACGCCGGGUGAGGGAUGACGGCCUUCGGGUUGUAAACCUCUUUCAGUAGGGAAGAAGCGAAAGUGACGGUACCUGCAGAAGAAGCACCGGCUAACUACGUG